AACGAACGCUGGCGGCAUGCCUAACACAUGCAAGUCGAACGAGACCUUCGGGUCUAGUGGCGCCCGGGUGCGUAACGCGUGGGAACCUGCCCUUAGGUUCGGAAUAACUCCCCGAAAGGGGUGCUAAUACCGGAUAAUGUCUUCGGACCAAAGAUUUAUCGCCUUUGGAUGGGCCCGCGUUGGAUUAGCUAGUUGGUAGGGUAAAAGCCUACCAAGGCGACGAUCCAUAGCUGGUCUGAGAGGAUGAUCAGCCACACUGGGACUGAGACACGGCCCAGACUCCUACGGAAGGCAGCAGUGGGGAAUAUUGGACAAUGGGCGAAAGCCUGAUCCAGCAAUGCCGCGUGAGUGAUGAAGGCCUUAGGGUUGUAAAGCUCUUUUACCCGGGAUGAUAAUGACAGUACCGGGAGAAUAAGCUCCGGCUAACUCCGUG
rnacentral:rRNA from 1 species